rnacentral:rRNA from 1 species
UACGUAGGCAGCAAGCGUUGUUCGGAGUUACUGGGUUUAAAGGGUGCGUAGGCGGGUUAUUAAGUCAGUGGUGAAAGCCUACAGCUCAACUGUAGAAUUGCCAUUGAUACUGAUGAUCUUGAGUAUGAUUGAGGUGGGCGGAAUGUGUCAUGUAGCGGUGAAAUGCUUAGAUAUGACACAGAACACCGAUUGCGAAGGCAGCUCACUAAGUCAUAACUGACGCUGAUGCACGAAAGCGUGGGGAGCAAACAGG